UUUAUCUCAGCAUUCACAGCAUUGGGUUUGUUUCAUCUCUCAGGAGGUGCGCUGGUUAACGCGACUACCGACGGAAGCACUGAGUAUAUUCCGACAAAGUACAAGAGGCCACGAGAUAAUCGACAUGCCACUUUAUCGUGAAUUUUGUGACGAUGUAGCAGCACAGUUGGAAAAACCAGAGUUCGAUGAUUGGCAAGAUUCGUUUACUUUCACGAGCCAACGAUAUUAUGACACGCAAUGAGAAAAACAAAAGGGUGCGCGUGACGAUACAUCGGAGUGUAUAAAUUCUUAUCUGGCAGACAAUCAAUUCAUGAAAUUAAUAUAAAUUGUGCAAAAAAAUUGAUUCCAUUGCUCGAUUUCAUUAACACUAUCUGCAAAACAUAAAUCAUUACUUAGAAAUGUGUGAUACUCUUUGCUGACAUUCGGUAUAUAUUGAAUAACAAAGACGCAUUUACUGGAUGUGCGUCAAUACGUUAACGAAAUUUUAUUAUAAAUAUAAACUACGAUAUCUUCUCGACAAGCUGUUAUGUACGUUAACAAUAUUCCUCUGAUGUUUCGACAUCUUACGCGCGAUGACGUUCAUUAAAAUAUGCGUUCAAUAUCGAAAAAUAAAAUCGUGCUGUAGAACGUACUUCGUCGUUUGAAACUCACGAUUAUUUUCAGCAUGUUAUAACGCAGAUCUUUACGCACGAAGUGGCACGCGAUUAAAUAACUUGUGAUUACAUUUAAUCAUUGCACUCAACUUUGCGUUUACGCACUAUAAAUUUCAGUAGCAUUAUCACACAUUCGUAUACGCCGUAUAACAUCUUCACAUGGAAUCUAUCAAACAACUGGAAAUCAUUAAAGUGAAGCGAACUAUUAUAGUGUGAAAUGAUGCAACGAUUCAGACAAAGAUGUAAUAAUAACGUAGAUGUAAUGAUAACGAAUUCAACCACACAUUUUUUUCUAACUCAAGAACAAGAUCUGAGUUGUUACGAACACAUCUAUAAAUAUCGUUAUAUUUAAUCGCGUGAUCACUACGCCGCGCGAACACGAAAAGAAACAGGGAGGGAUCGUUUGUAAGACGACUCUAAUGCCGACCGUGUAUAUUAGGUCAUCCCGCGGGCUUGGCUUGCAUAAUUAUCGGCUCUUCUGUCACCAAAGGCCGACCCGCGUAUAACACCGUUGCGCUGCUCUUACCGCACCUACAGCCGCGGCACUCAUCAGCGUGGUAUGCGUAAAAAUAAGCACUGUACAUGUACGUUUGUGUGAAUGUAACUCACGAGAUUGUACAUUAAUUUAAAAAAUUUCUGUUCUGUCAGAUAAAAUAAUUAAAGGUUUAAUCGAACUAUCAUGUAAUCGCAAA